GUUCACCCAAUAAGGUGCGAUCAGCGCGCGCUCGAUGAUGUUCGCAUGGGUCGUGCGCGCAUGGCUGAACGGAUCGGGACCGGUCGAAGUGCAGGCAUGCUCGGCGCGGCGAUGUUGCGCACCCGCGUCACCAGCGGAAACCACGUCGCCAUCGCAACGAUCCAGACGCCGAAAAACCAAAUGCCUGCGCCGGCAAGCCAGAACAGGCCGAACAGCAG
rnacentral:misc_RNA from 1 species